AUAAACCUUGAAACUUAAUUCCUAAGUGUUAAUGGUCAAUUGACUAUAGAUGAAGUAGCACAGCAAAGUAGACUCUUUUUACUGAUUUAUCUGUAAGGAUAACUAGUGUACUUUUUUUUCCUCUUCCUUUCUUGCUCUGCUGCUGAACUUUUAGAUGCUCCCAGAAAGUUAUUAGCAAAAACUCUGAAGUCAGUGUCAUGGCUGCAUGAUGCAAAGGUGGGUGCAUGGGUGAAGUGUGUCCAAAGUGCCCUGAAGAAAUUCCUCCCAACAUCAGUUUGCCAACACUGAAUCUGCUAAGUACCAUUUUUCCUCUUGGAGUCCACUCAGAAUUUCUCAGACCACCUACACUGGAACUUCUUUUUGCCUUAGAUGAAAGAUAUUCCAAUUACAUUUUGCAUUGCUUUAAAGCUGCUUGAGUUCCAAAGAAUUACUAAAUUUUGAUCUACAUCUACUUCCACAAGACUAUGAAAAUAAGCAUGAAUGAGAACAUGACUUGGCAAUUCUUACAGGCCAUGAAAUUUCAGCACCUUACUUUCUGAGCAUCUGCCUUGGUAAUAAUGGAAACAUUUUGUUUUGCAGCAUCAUAGCUCUUCUAGUGUUCCACUUUUUCUUUUCAUGACUUUAUGGGAAAUUACAUUAGUUUUAGAAGCACGCUUGUACUGUGUGUACUCUACCUCUGUCCCUCCACUUCAUAAAUCAUCUCUUAAUUUUUAUCAAGGACGAUGUCAGUUCAUUCCUUACCUUCACUCCCUGGCCAAGACUCUCAAGUGAAUUAAUAUCCAGACCUUCCUUGCAGGCCUGCAAACAGGAAAUCACUUUCUGACUCUCAAUUUUUCCAGGACGGAUAGUAAGACUGGCUAGGCUGCCGUGGAAAUACUGAGCAAAUCUAGGCUUGGUGACUUCACCUCCUGCAAGAAAGAAAAUAUAAAAUGAUUAUUGUUAUCGAUAUAGAAAACAUAAAUCAAAUAAUUCACGUUUUUUGGGGGCUGAAAAUCAAGUUUCGCCAAUUAUUUCUGAAGUUCCAUUUAUUGCGCUAAGUAGAAUUGCUUUGCAGGUUGUUGGAUGGUACUAGCAACCUGUCUUUAAGAUUCUUGUCAGUGUUCUUCUAGUACUGUAUUCAGGUGCUUACAAAGCUGUGAUAACAUACUUUGAGACAAAAAAUGAUUUCCCAAAUCUGUGCCCAAUGAAGCAGAGCAUUUUCAAAAAUGAAUUGAGAUUAUUGGAGUGAUCAAACGUGAAUUUCACAACAUUUUUGAGGCCUUACUUAUUUAUGCAGAAACUGUACCUGCAAGUUCUCUACUACAAGUUCUCUUACACAGCCUUUAUCUUUUUCCUCCGAAACCAGCUUUGACAGACCAAGAUAUGCUCUGUGUAAACAGUGCCUAGGUCUCUAGGAAUACAGUAUAAAUUCAGAGCACUGACUGCACACUAAUGUACAGCACUACGCUAAAAGGCUUACAGUAUCUUAGCCAAGCCAGCUCAUUUGGUGCUAGAUGAGGUCCCAUCACAGUACAUUGCAUUAGGCCCUCUAGCUAUGCUCUAUUCAGCUUCACUCUAUGCAACUUCAAAGGAAGACUGAUCUUUAGGAGUUGUCAAUAAAAUGUGAUUAUAUACUGCCUGCAACAGUGAUGAUAGCAUCUAAAUUACUCUUGGGAUAUUUAAUGAUUUACUCAUUCUCCUCUAAGAUAGUUUUUACAGCCUGCUUUUCCUGCAAGCAUUAGCUGAAUUGGUGCUUGUGAAUUGCUGCCUACCUUGAGCCUGAGAGGGACCAAGAAAGCCACGCAGUAGUGAAGCCGUGCAGACUAAUUGCAUUAGCAGUGGAUAAGCUGCUGUAAUUGUUAGAUAACUCAUCUUCACAGCGUUUGUAGCUUUAGUUCCCAGUAACCUAUUUCUGCCUGGCAACAUACCUCAGGCUUGAACUUUAACUUGAAGAUUUGUGUGUGGAACAGUAUUAGGAAUAGGGGAUAAAAUGGCAACUUUAGUUGAGGCUGAUGUUACUGCCUGAAAGCCAUCUCUUUUAAUCUGUGCAGUAAAAGCACAACUUUUUCCUUAUGUAGUAAGGAAAAUAUACACUGUUGUGCUGAGAGUGAAGAAGGUGUCUAGGCAUGCUUUUUCUUCACAGAAGCAGACAUUUCUGUUCUUUUAUGUUAAGCCUACAGUACAAACUGCUGCUCUUUCUACUUCAAAGAAAGACCCUCAGAGAGAAAUUAUGUUUUUUCCCUUCUUUCAUUUGUCUGUCAGUUAUACAGAAAACUUCUUCUGGGCCAAAUUUUUUAGAGGUUUCAUGGAACCUUUCACAUCAGUUUGUUCUGUAAUGUAGGCCUUAUCAAGACAAUUGGUAAAUAGCUAGUACCCUACAGGGAUGCCAGUUCUUCCCAAAAAUGUCAUUACAUUUAUGUAUUUGAGUUGUCUUUAAAAGCAUAUAUUUCCACUAAUAAUAUAACAACAAUGUACCUGAUGAUGACAAAAACAGGUGAAACCUUACAGGAGAAAGGAAUCAUUGCAUUUGAAGCUUCUCAUAUCCUUAACAUAGUUCUGAAGACAGCAAGCUCUAAGGUUAAAACCUUAGGUUUUGAAAUUUAGAAACAUACAGUAAAAGUGUGCCAGCAGGUCGUAACAGUUCUGAUGAGAUGCAAAAUGAGAAGCAAUCUCAGAUAAGCUAAUGUAUUUAAAUAUGAAACUAGUUCCUUAAAAUGUAUGAAGGGAUAGACAAGAAGCUAAAAGAAUUUGGUGCUAUAGCUAUCUCUGGCAGUACAAGCAAUAUAAACCAGCUGAAGUGAUCCUACAGAACUGCAUGACUGCUGCUUACAUCCAUGCACAGCAAUUUCAGGUAAAUUUCAGGUAAUAAACUCAUUUAUAAUUUUUUUUUCAAUUGUUAUUUCAUUUCAGACUAAUUCUUCUCAGAUGCCAUCAACAAAAAAGACUUAUUUUUGGUUUGAAUGUGGUGGGUACAUGGCUGGUGUGUACAGCCAGUUAGUUUCCUCCAGCAAGAAUCCAGCUCAUGUGCUCAGACACUGGUCCAUGUGGACAACAGCAGAGGACUGGGGAUGAUCAGGGGAUUGUUAAAAGCGUGCUCCUGAUCCAAAACGACUCACUAAUGUGGGUGUGCAAACACAGCAGCUCUGUAAGUGGUUACCUUCAGCCUGUGAGUGAAAAAUAGCUGGGAAUAGCUACUGUCCUGUUGUAUCAGUAGAGAAAAUAUACAAAACUAUGCCCACAGUUACAGCAAGAUGGUUCAUACUAGGACAGUUGCAAUGUAACAGCUGAUAGCAGGAUCUGAACAGACACUGGGGGAUGACCUUGUCUGUCCACUAGCCCCAAGACAAGAUCACCUGUGCCCCAUUGUAGUACAUAUACAAUAUAUAUGUACCUGUACCAUUCUAGAGAAUUGCCAGAGAUGUUCUAAACUCUUCUGAAGACAAAGGUUCCUGAAGCAGUCUACUCCAUUACUUACUGAUCUUUAUAGUGUUGAAAGCUUAUUCAUAAAGAGAAUGUUAUCUGUCAAAAUAUUACCAUACUUUUUCCUCUGGCAGUCUAACCAAGAUCUUCCCUUUAACUGUUUCCAUCUAGAACUGUAGACUCUGAUCAUCCCUCUUGCUCUUCCUGGAAGUGCUGCUAUUAUUUACUGAUCACAGCUUACAGGUCUUCUGAAUGUUACGUGUGUCUUACAAAGGCCAUCCCUGUUAAUUCAGGAUAGCAUGAAAAACUAGCCUUUUGCACAGGACUAAACACGAGCAAUUGUAUAUGCACACUUACAGAACAAAUACUCUUACACGUAAUUAGAAAGAAUAUGCUGCCAGAUAAGCGUUUCAUAAGCACCUUUUGCCAGAGCCAAAGACAUAUGAUAUACCUGCUAAUUUUAUCCACUAAGGUGAAUAGAUGUCAUUACAUCCGACUCUUAUCACAUCACUUGUAAUUGCACUGUGUUGACGUUUUCAUAUUCUUCUACAUCAGCAUUUCAGAAUCUUCCCAGCUUAACAGGGUAAGUUAACUUGAUGUGUUUCGGUAGUCAGCCAAUUAUCAGUCCCAUACAGCUCAAACAAAUAGAACUCAACUCCAGAAAGGUGGUACAGUAGCAUUAAGACCUUCCUAAUAAAUAAAUAAACCGUAACUUCUCAAUUGCCUAGCAUCAUGUGUUUCACUCAGCUGUUUACUGAUUAUUAUUAAUAUGCUGCAAACAUUAUUUCUUGGGGGAUACUUCAGAAGUGAGCAACAAGGGAAAUGCCAACUGUCCUUACUGUCAGUCAGGGGGUUAAGGUCGAUGUCUGCAACACACAAAAGGCUGAAAAAACCUUUUAGAACAAUGCCACUUACUUAUCCUCAUUACAGACCCUGUAUUACAAAUCUCAGCUGCUACUUUUAUCACGCAUUCUUGACACCAAAACAGAAGAAGUGUCCUUCUAUGAUUUGCUGAUCACCCACUGGUUAAAACCAUUGUAACAGGCAAUUGUUCCAAGACAGAAAUAGUUAAGACAUAAUAUAGACACAUGGCUUAGAACAGACUGCCAGAAGAAACCAAGAGCUGCUUCUGGAAUUGUCUAAACAACUGUUAACUGCCUGGGGCACUUCCUAUCUUAAUGUAACAACAGUAUCCCCAAAACCCUCACCCAAUUCUAACUACUAUCAGAAAAAAAGGAAAAAUAGAAAUCUUGCUUGUAGUUUGCAAUACCUUUUCAUACAACACUGCAUAAGAAUUGGUGUAUUACUGUUGCAACUGCAAAAUGGUUUUAGUUUUUUCAGUCACAGUUAUCUGCCUGCAGAUACCACAAUGCAUACUGCCUAUACAACCUGUUCAGGAAGGCAUUUCAAAUGCAUCAAGUUAAGUUUGGUUGUGCAAUUUUUAAUCUUAGGUCACAUGUACUGUAUAUUAAAUGAAGUAAUAUAAAUAGUUUAGCCUAAAGAUGGUUUAACUCCUACUCCUAAAUAAACUCCUUCACAUUAAAUGUGAACUACAUUAAAAACCAAGAGAUAUUUGCUAGAAUAUUAUGAUAGGACUCUAAAUUAAGGCAGGAGCUCUGCGUAGACCUUCCCUGUAAUGAACUCCUUGAAAAAAGAGCAAAGGCUUUGAAAUUAUAUUAAAAAGAAAGAUUCUACUAUAAGAAAAUCCAGCAUACAUUAUUUUAGGUAGAGGAAAAUUAAUACUGAUUAUGUCCAAACAAAAAGUAAAAAAACAUUUCUACAACUUUUCUCAUGCCAGAUGUGCUGUUAAAGCUGGAAACUAGCCACCAUGCUUGCUUUUAGUAACUUUCAUUAUUGAAGUAUCAAGACAAGUGAAAUUCCAUUUUGAAUUCAGAAUACUACUUUCUACUGCCAUAUUACCUUGCCAGCAAGCACCGACUGUCAGCUGCAUGGCUAUGUGUGAAGGGU